CCUGCUUCGAUUUCCCUCUAAAGAUUGUUUCUCAAGCAGCAUGGCCUCCCCGGCCUCCCAGCCAGGGUGACCAGAGUUGGUACUGAAGAAGGGGGCCACCCAGAAACACCAAAAGGUGCAGACUCCAAAACCCACCAAGGCCUGUUCCCUGCAGCCCAGGACCAGGAGGGGCAGGCUGGCAGGACAGAAACAUUUUACACGUCCAGAACAUACGCGUGCAGCUGGCAAGGAGAAACGCUGUGUUUCACGGUGGAUUUUGCGUUGGGAUUCACCUGUUUUGACAGUAAG